GAUCGACCUGAAGCACCGCUCUUUUCAACUGGACUUUGACUUGCAGUAUUUUUAACAUUGAUCAUGAGUAGCUGACUCCUUCGGAUCUUCUGCAAAUUUGCUCUGCAACUUUUCAAAAGUGCAGGACUUCAAACAGCCAGGAUCCCGGCCGGAGAGCUGCCUCAUCAGGGAGCUGCACAAGAUGUCAUGACUGCCUGGCCUGGCUGCGGGGACAUUCACAGGCACACUGUACUUGUGAACUUACUGAAUCUUUACAACUCAUGAGAAAGACACCAGAGUUCCACUUACAGAAAAUGUUACAUGGAAAAAAUUCAAAUUAAAGUUG